GAUGAACGCUAGCUACAGGCUUAACACAUGCAAGUCGAGGGGCAGCACUAGGUAGCAAUACUGAGGUGGCGACCGGCGCACGGGUGCGUAACGCGUAUCCAACCUUCCCGUUACUCUUGGAUAGCCUUCCGAAAGGGAGAUUAAUACAAGAUGGUAUUCAAAUUCCGCAUGUUAUUUGAAUUAAAGAUUAAUCGGUAACGGAUGGGGAUGCGUGACAUUAGAUAGUAGGCGGGGUAACGGCCCACCUAGUCUACGAUGUCUAGGGGUUCUGAGAGGAAGGUCCCCCACACUGGAACUGAGACACGGUCCAGACUCCUACGGGAGGCAGCAGUGAGGAAUAUUGGUCAAUGGUCGGAAGACUGAACCAGCCAAGUAGCGUGAAGGAUGAAGGUUCUAUGGAUUGUAAACUUCUUUUAUACGGGAAUAAAACACCUUACGUGUAGGGUCUUGUAUGUACCGUAUGAAUAAGCAUCGGCUAACUCCGUG
rnacentral:rRNA from 1 species